rnacentral:ribozyme from 1 species
UGCACAGCAACUCCUAUCCCUACCUCCUCGUGGUACUGGCCGGGGUACGAGUAACCUUGGGGAAGAUCGAGUAACCAAUCCCGGUGGGAGCUUUGGUCGUAUGCUGAAUGGGAAGG